rnacentral:rRNA from 1 species
AUUGAACGCUGGCGGCAGGCCUAACACAUGCAAGUCGAACGGUAACAGGAAGCAGCUUGCUGCUUCGCUGACGAGUGGCGGACGGGUGAGUAAUGUCUGGGAAGCUGCCUGAUGGAGGGGGAUAACUACUGGAAACGGUAGCUAAUACCGCAUAAUGUCGCAAGACCAAAGAGGGGGACCUUCGGGCCUCUUGCCAUCGGAUGUGCCCAGAUGGGAUUAGCUUGUUGGUGGGGUAACGGCUCACCAAGGCGACGAUCCCUAGCUGGUCUGAGAGGAUGACCAGCCACACUGGGACUGAGACACGUUCCAGACUCCUACGGGAGGCAGCAGUGGGGAAUAUUGCACAAUGGGCGCAAGCCUGAUGCAGCCAUGCCGCGUGUAUGAAGAAGGCCUUCGGGUUGUAAAGUACUUUCAGCGGGGAGGAAGGGAGUAAAGUUAAUACCUUUGCUCAUUGACGUUACCCGCAGAAGAAGCACCGGCUAACUCCGUG